rnacentral:SRP_RNA from 1 species
GCUGGGUGUGGUGGCUGGCACCUGUAAUCCCAGCUACUUAGGAGGCUGAGGCAGAAGAAUUGCUUGAACCCAGGAGGCGGAGGUUACAGUGAGCCGAGAUUGUGCCACUACACUCCAGCCUGGGUGACAGAGCGAGACUCUGUCUCAA